GGCACAGGCUGAAAGGCUGCAGGGAACGCAUCCCUAACCGCUGCCUGGAGUCAGGAGCAGUGGGUUGAAUGACGUCCUCCUCACAAAAAGACUCAUUUACCAGGAAUCUGUGAAUGUGAACUUAUUUGGAACAGGAGUCUUUUCAGAAGCAAUUACAUUAAGAAUCUCAAAAUAAGAUCAUCCUGGAUUAUCCACAUUGCCCCUACAUCCAGUGACAAUUGUCCUUGCCAGAGACAAAAGAAAGGAAACGUGGACACCCAGAGGAGAAACAGCCAUGUGAAGACAGAGGCAGGCUGAAGUGAUGCAGCCCAAGCCCAGGAUCGCCUGGAGCCACCAGAAGCUGGCAGAGAUUUGAUGUGAAAUGUCGUGUGGUGUCUGGCUGUGAACAUGGAUUCUCCUGAUAACAACCUUGGCUCUAUGCUGACUGUAUCUUCAUGCCGCCUGAGCAUACACCAUUCUGAUUAAAUUUGGUCCAAGGCCUUCCCAAUCCAAUGCUGUCCACCCUGGCAUCGAGUCUACCAGGAUCAGCCCAACCCUUUGGGACAAGACAAAAGGCCCAGCUAAUGAUGUGAUUAACAAUAGAAUGUUCAUGAUUAAAAAAGAGUUGGCUAAUACAUGGGGAAGAAUCCAAUACUCUAUAUGAAAUACUUGUCUACAGUUGAUUUCUAUACACUUUAAAUACUAUUGAUGUUACUGAUGAAGGCAA